UACGGAGGGUGCAAGCGUUAUCCGGAAUCACUGGGCGUAAAGGGUGCGUAGGCGGGUCUUUAAGUCAGGGGUGAAAUCCGUGGAGCUCAACUCCAGAACUGCCUUUGAUACUGAGGAUCUUGAGUACGGGAGAGGUGAGUGGAACUGCGAGUGUAGAGGUGAAAUUCGUAGAUAUUCGCAAGAACACCAGUGGCGAAGGCGGCUCACUGGCCCGUAACUGACGCUGAGGCACGAAAGCGUGGGGAGCAAACAGG
rnacentral:rRNA from 1 species